rnacentral:rRNA from 386 species
CCAGCAUGAGUUAUGUCAUGUUAUCGAUAUGUGAAUACAUAGCAUAUCAGAAGGCACACCCGGAGAACUGAAACAUCUUAGUACCCGGAGGAAGAGAAAGAAAAUUCGAUUCCCUUAGUAGCGGCGAGCGAAACGGGAAGAGCCCAAACCAACAAGCUUGCUUGUUGGGGUUGUAGGACACUCUAUACGGAGUUACAAAGGACGACAUUAGACGAAUCAUCUGGAAAGAUGAAUCAAAGAAGGUAAUAAUCCUGUAGUCGAAAAUGUUGUCUCUCUUGAGUGGAUCCUGAGUACGACGGAGCACGUGAAAUUCCGUCGGAAUCUGGGAGGACCAUCUCCUAAGGCUAAAUACUCUCUAGUGACCGAUAGUGAACCAGUACCGUGAGGGAAAGGUGAAAAGCACCCCGGAAGGGGAGUGAAAUAGAACCUGAAACCGUGUGCUUACAAGUAGUCAGAGCCCGUUAAUGGGUGAUGGCGUGCCUUUUGUAGAAUGAACCGGCGAGUUACGAUUUGAUGCAAGGUUAAGCAGUAAAUGUGGAGCCGUAGCGAAAGCGAGUCUGAAUAGGGCGUUUAGUAUUUGGUCGUAGACCCGAAACCAGGUGAUCUACCCUUGGUCAGGUUGAAGUUCAGGUAACACUGAAUGGAGGACCGAACCGACUUACGUUGAAAAGUGAGCGGAUGAACUGAGGGUAGCGGAGAAAUUCCAAUCGAACCUGGAGAUAGCUGGUUCUCUCCGAAAUAGCUUUAGGGCUAGCCUCAAGUGAUGAUUAUUGGAGGUAGAGCACUGUUUGGACGAGGGGCCCCUCUCGGGUUACCGAAUUCAGACAAACUCCGAAUGCCAAUUAAUUUAACUUGGGAGUCAGAACAUGGGUGAUAAGGUCCGUGUUCGAAAGGGAAACAGCCCAGACCACCAGCUAAGGUCCCAAAAUAUAUGUUAAGUGGAAAAGGAUGUGGCGUUGCCCAGACAACUAGGAUGUUGGCUUAGAAGCAGCCAUCAUUUAAAGAGUGCGUAAUAGCUCACUAGUCGAGUGACACUGCGCCGAAAAUGUACCGGGGCUAAACAUAUUACCGAAGCUGUGGAUUGUCCUUUGGACAAUGGUAGGAGAGCGUUCUAAGGGCGUUGAAGCAUGAUCGUAAGGACAUGUGGAGCGCUUAGAAGUGAGAAUGCCGGUGUGAGUAGCGAAAGACGGGUGAGAAUCCCGUCCACCGAUUGACUAAGGUUUCCAGAGGAAGGCUCGUCCGCUCUGGGUUAGUCGGGUCCUAAGCUGAGGCCGACAGGCGUAGGCGAUGGAUAACAGGUUGAUAUUCCUGUACCACCUAUAAUCGUUUUAAUCGAUGGGGGGACGCAGUAGGAUAGGCGAAGCGUGCGAUUGGAUUGCACGUCUAAGCAGUAAGGCUGAGUAUUAGGCAAAUCCGGUACUCGUUAAGGCUGAGCUGUGAUGGGGAGAAGACAUUGUGUCUUCGAGUCGUUGAUUUCACACUGCCGAGAAAAGCCUCUAGAUAGAAAAUAGGUGCCCGUACCGCAAACCGACACAGGUAGUCAAGAUGAGAAUUCUAAGGUGAGCGAGCGAACUCUCGUUAAGGAACUCGGCAAAAUGACCCCGUAACUUCGGGAGAAGGGGUGCUCUUUAGGGUUAACGCCCAGAAGAGCCGCAGUGAAUAGGCCCAAGCGACUGUUUAUCAAAAACACAGGUCUCUGCUAAACCGUAAGGUGAUGUAUAGGGGCUGACGCCUGCCCGGUGCUGGAAGGUUAAGAGGAGUGGUUAGCUUCUGCGAAGCUACGAAUCGAAGCCCCAGUAAACGGCGGCCGUAACUAUAACGGUCCUAAGGUAGCGAAAUUCCUUGUCGGGUAAGUUCCGACCCGCACGAAAGGCGUAACGAUUUGGGCACUGUCUCAACGAGAGACUCGGUGAAAUCAUAGUACCUGUGAAGAUGCAGGUUACCCGCGACAGGACGGAAAGACCCCGUGGAGCUUUACUGUAGCCUGAUAUUGAAAUUCGGCACAGCUUGUACAGGAUAGGUAGGAGCCUUUGAAACGUGAGCGCUAGCUUACGUGGAGGCGCUGGUGGGAUACUACCCUAGCUGUGUUGGCUUUCUAACCCGCACCACUUAUCGUGGUGGGAGACAGUGUCAGGCGGGCAGUUUGACUGGGGCGGUCGCCUCCUAAAAGGUAACGGAGGCGCUCAAAGGUUCCCUCAGAAUGGUUGGAAAUCAUUCAUAGAGUGUAAAGGCAUAAGGGAGCUUGACUGCGAGACCUACAAGUCGAGCAGGGUCGAAAGACGGACUUAGUGAUCCGGUGGUUCCGCAUGGAAGGGCCAUCGCUCAACGGAUAAAAGCUACCCCGGGGAUAACAGGCUUAUCUCCCCCAAGAGUUCACAUCGACGGGGAGGUUUGGCACCUCGAUGUCGGCUCAUCGCAUCCUGGGGCUGUAGUCGGUCCCAAGGGUUGGGCUGUUCGCCCAUUAAAGCGGUACGCGAGCUGGGUUCAGAACGUCGUGAGACAGUUCGGUCCCUAUCCGUCGUGGGCGUAGGAAAUUUGAGAGGAGCUGUCCUUAGUACGAGAGGACCGGGAUGGACAUACCUCUGGUGUACCAGUUGUCGUGCCAACGGCAUAGCUGGGUAGCUAUGUGUGGACGGGAUAAGUGCUGAAAGCAUCUAAGCAUGAAGCCCCCCUCAAGAUGAGAUUUCCCAACUUCGGUUAUAAGAUCCCUCAAAGAUGAUGAGGUUAAUAGGUUCGAGGUGGAAGCAUGGUGACAUGUGGAGCUGACGAAUACUAAUCGAUCGAAGACUUAAUCAA